UGUGUGUAUGUGUCUUCUAUUAAAUCCAUGUCUAUAUUACUUUGCCACUAAAAAUACAAUUUUAAAAGUUAUCCUAAUUUAAAACCCUGAUAUCCUGACAGCAGUUUUCUUCCCAGCUGUAGUGCCCCCCCCUCCACUUUGGUAAACGACUCAAGUUCCAUGAGGACUUUCACUUCUUUAUUUAUAAUCACAGAAGUGAGGUGUUACUUCACACACAUACACACACAAAGAAUGAAAUAAAGAAAUGAAACUCGCUAAGCAGACAAAAACAGACAACUUUCUGCUUAGAAAACAGCCUUCUCGGUGGGAGAGGAUGAACUGCCAUGUCUAAGAGAAAGACUUGCCCCCGAAUUUGUAGGUCUGUAACUGACCAAGUUUUGUAAUUAUUAACAGGUAUUUGCCAAGUCCUAAUUGCUGAAUAUAAUGAAUUGGAACUAGAUGCGAAAAUAGAGCAGGACCUCUCCCCUUGAUGAGUUUUUAUUCCAGCCAUAUAAUUCUCAAUAAAACUUUUCCUGGGCUGGAUAGCAAAGGACACCUUUGGUUACCUGAAUGAACAGGUACAGGGGAAAUUAUUUGGGGGAGGGAAAAAGGAGAGAAAAGCAAGGAGAGAGAGUGUGAGUGUAAGAGAAAGCGAAGAAGCCACUCUUGAGAAAAGCUUGCCAUAAAGGAGCUAAACCCACCUGAAAUUCCUACCCACGGACACCCCUUCUCACUUCAGACUCACAUCCCCACUCAAAAUGAGAAAAUUAGAAAAGGAGGAUGGAGGACGAGCACACCAAAAAGGGAUAAAAAGAGAGAAAAGGGGAGGAAAAAAAACCUACCUGCGAAGUCUUGUUUGUAGUUUUGGCCAGAAAUGGUGAGAAGAAAAAGCAUGAAGAAGCCGCGAAGUGUGGGGGAGAAAAAGGUGGAAGCGAAGAAACAGCUCCCGGAGCAAACUGUACAAAAACCUCGCCAAGAGUGUCGGGAGGCAGGACCGUUAUUCCUGCAGAGCAGGAGAGAGACGAGAGACCCUGAAACACGCGCCACCUAUCUUUGUGGGGAGGGAUA
rnacentral:lncRNA from 1 species